GAAAUAGUGGGAUGACUGGUUCCCCUCAACGAGGAUAAAUCCUGGUCAGCCCGGGGAGGGAAAGAAGACACCUUGGUGUACGGCACACAAUUAAUACAUGAUUUUUUUCAUUGUGGAAAAUAUCAUUUUUGGCGUUUGUAUGGUUGUGCGUACGCACAGAAAAAAUCGUAGCGUUGCUUGAUACAUACGUACACCUCUAUAUAUGUGUGUGUGUAAAUGUACGUACAGGCACCAUUCACCACCAUUCAUCAAUGCCGUUGCCGUCGCAUAUCAUCGACCGAUGCAUAUGCCGUUAUCCCACGCAAAAAAAAAUGUACACACACUUGCAUGAAGUGUUUCGUUCCCCUUUUCACACCGAUGGGAACAUUGAAAACAUGAACAUGGCCCUGAGGCAAUUCAAUUGAAAAGAAAGUGAACUCGAGUUUAAAAAAAAUGGAAUAGUUUUUGCCGUACGGAGACAGCCUAAUUCUUCUUCAAUGCACAACCACACGCAACCUCCAAUCGAUGCCCCAGACUAAUGAACAAUUUCUGGCAAGGAAAUUCCGUCUGGCCAGGUAGUGUUAGAGACAUUUAGCAGUGGAAAUAUGCAGCGUUUAGCAGAAUAAAAACAACAAUUUACCUGUGGCCUUACGCCAUUAAUUGGACAGCAAAACAUUCGCUGGACAUAAGUACUUGGUUUUAGCAUCGUUGAAGUGGUGUGACCUAACUUGAUGAUUAUUACAUCCACCCUGUUCAUAGACAACGUCUGACAGGUAGCAUCAGCUCGAGAUGGAUUGUGGACAACAAAAUUUCCUCUCAACACCUGAUCGUAAACAGUUGCAGCUCAAUGUGUGUGCUGUGUGUCUCCAUCAUAUUGAAGUGUGUGCAUUUAUAAAGGAAAACAAACAUGAGUGUCGUGUAUUCCCUUUUCGCUCCCAAGGGAGAUUUUGUGACAAUUUAUGAAGGAGUGAAAUAAAUGGAAACAAAGACAACCCGCUAACCGGUCGUCGCACAAUCACACAAUUAUGGAUAUCAAUUUUUACUGGAUUGAAGGCGUGUGGUCAAUAUAUCCCCACACUUUCUACCUGGCAUGUAGUGAACUGGAUUUAUGUACGCAGAAAAGUUACGAGGCAUCAUAAAAACAAGGACAACAGUGCUGGGGU